rnacentral:rRNA from 1 species
UACAGAGGGUGCGAGCGUUGUCCGGAAUCACUGGGCGUAAAGGGCGCGUAGGUGGUGGCUUAAGCGUGCGGUGAAAGCUCGGGGCUCAACCCCGAGUCGGCCGUGCGAACUGCUGGACUGGAGCAUGUCAGAGGCGGGUGGAAUUCCGGGUGUAGCGGUGGAAUGCGUAGAGAUCCGGAAGAACACCGGUGGCGAGGGCGGCCCGCUGGGACAUAGCUGACGCUGAGGCGCGACAGCGUGGGGAGCAAACAGG